GUGGUGACUGUGAUUGUAGUGUCCCUAUGUAACCUGUGUGACGUGAUUUAGGUUCGUCUCUCGUAACCUUGGUGACGUGUAUUUAGGUGUCUCUAACCUGUGUGAGCGUUAUUUAGGUGUCUCUGUAACCUGUGUGACGUGUAUUUAGUGUCCUCUGUAACCUGUGUGACGUGUAUUAUUAGGUGUCUCUCGCUUAACCUGUGUGACGUGUAUGUAGGUGUCUCUCUGUAACCUGUGUGACGUGUAUUUAGGUGUCUCUCUGUAACCUGUGUGACGUGUAUUUAUGUGUCUCUCUGUAACCUGUGUACGUGUAUUUAGUGUCUCUCUGUAACCUGUGGGCGUGAUUUAGGUGUCUCUUCUCUGUAACCUGUGUGACGGUAUUUAGGUGUCUCCUGGUAACCUGGUUGAGUGUAUUUAGGUGUCUCUCUGUAACCUGUGUGACGUGUAUUUAGGGUGUCUCUCUGUAACCUGUGGACGUGUAUUUAGGUGUCUCUCUGUAACCUGUG
rnacentral:lncRNA from 1 species